UUAGUAUCACUCCGUCCGAAAAAGCUUGUCCCAAGCUUGUCUUUCAAAUGGAUGUAUCUAGCACUAAUUUGGUGCUAGAUACAUCCAUUUGAGGGACAAGUUUUUUCGGACGGAGGGAGUAUUCU
rnacentral:pre_miRNA from 1 species